UGCACGGUGGUGUAGUGGUUAGCACUUUUGCCACACAGCAAGAAGGUUCUGGGUUCGAGUCCCGGUUUCAA
rnacentral:tRNA from 14 species